rnacentral:lncRNA from 1 species
CCGCUGUGGGAAAAAGUUCACCAGGGCUUACUCGCUAAAGAUGCAUCGCCUAAAGCAUGAAGUGAUUUCCUAGUACCGGACUACUUAAACCAGGAACAAGAAGAGACCCUUGUUCAAUAUGAUCUUGGAGAACACGGUUUUGAAAGCAACUCCUCUGUUCAAAUGCCUGUCAUUUCACAGGUCUCCUCAACCCAGAAUUGUGAAAGCACUUUUCCCUUGGGGUCUCUUGGUGGGCUGGCAGAAAAAGAGGAAGAAGUGCCAGAGCAGCCAAAGAGCAGUGCUUGUGCUGAGGCAACCAGAGAUGACCCCCCAAAAUCAGAGCUGUCUU